GACGAACGCUGGCGGCGUGCUUAACACAUGCAAGUCGAACGGAAAGGCCCUGCUUUUGUGGGGUGCUCGAGUGGCGAACGGGUGAGUAACACGUGAGUAACCUGCCCUUGACUUUGGGAUAACUUCAGGAAACUGGGGCUAAUACCGGAUAGGAGCUCCUGCUGCAUGGUGGGGGUUGGAAAGUUUCGGCGGUUGGGGAUGGACUCGCGGCUUAUCAGCUUGUUGGUGGGGUAGUGGCUUACCAAGGCUUUGACGGGUAGCCGGCCUGAGAGGGUGACCGGCCACAGUGGGACUGAGAUACGGCCCAGACUCCUACGGGAGGCAGCAGUGGGGAAUAUUGCACAAUGGGCGGAAGCCUGAUGCAGCAACGCCGCGUGCGGGAUGACUGCCUUCGGGUUGUAAACCGCUUUCGCCUGUGACGAAGCGUGAGUGACGGUAAUGGGUAAAGAAGCACCGGCUAACUACGUG
rnacentral:rRNA from 1 species